GAGGUUGUGGCUCAGUGGUAAAGUGCUCACUUAGCACAUGUGAGGCACUGGGUUUGAUCCUCAGCACCACA
rnacentral:tRNA from 1 species